rnacentral:rRNA from 1 species
UACGGAGGAUCCAAGCGUUGUCCGGAUUUAUUGGGUUUAAAGGGUGCGUAGGUGGAUAAUUAAGUCAGGGGUGAAAUCCCGGGGCAUCAACCUCGGAACGUGCCUUUCGAUACUGGAGAUCUUGAGUCCGGAAGAGGUAAGUGGAACUGCGAGUGUAGAGGUGAAAUUCGUAGAUAUUCGCAAGAACACCAGUGGCGAAGGCGGCUUACUGGUCCGGAACUGACGCUGAGGUGCGAAAGCGUGGGGAGCAAAC